rnacentral:rRNA from 1 species
GGCGUGCUUAACACAUGCAAGUCAAGGAGAACGGAUCCUUCGGGAUACUAUUAAACUGGCGAACGGGUGAGUAACACGUAGGCAACUUGCCUUGGAGAUUGGGAUAACCCCGGGAAACCGGGACUAAUACCAAAUAAUGCAGCGUAUCCUUCGGGAUAUGUUGUUAAAGUGGGCUUCGGCUCACACUUCAAGAUGGGCCUGCGUCCGAUUAGCUUGUUGGUGAGGUAAUGGCUCACCAAGGCGAUAAUCGGUAGCUGGUCUGAGAGGAUGAUCAGCCACACUGGGAUUGAGAUACGGCCCAGACUCCUACGGGAGGCAGCAGUGGGGAAUUUUGCGCAAUGGACGAAAGUCUGACGCAGCAACGCCGCGUGAUCGAUGAAGCUUUUAGGAGUGUAAAGAUCUGUCGUGAGGGAAGAAAAAUCUGGAUGUAAAUAAUGUUCAGACUUGACGGUACCUCAUAAGAAAGCACCGGCUAACUUCGUGCCAGCAGCCGCGGUAAUACGAGGGGUGCUAGCGUUGUCCGGAAUUACUGGGCGUAAAGGGUCCGUAGGCGUCUUGUCAAGUUGAUCGUUAAAUCCACCGGCUUAACCGGUGAUCUGCGAUCAAAACUGGCAGGAUAGAAUAUGUGAGGGGAAUGUGGAAUUCCUGGUGUAGCGGUGACAUGCGUAGAUAUCAGGAGGAACACCAAUGGCGAAGGCAGCAUUCUGGCACAAUAUUGACGCUGAGGGACGAAAGCGUGGGGAGCAAACAGGAUUAGAUACCCUGGUAGUCCACGCCGUAAACGAUGAGUACUUGGUGGUGGGGGAUUCGACCCCUUCACUAUCGGAGCUAACGCGUUAAGUACUCCGCCUGGGGACUA